AUUGAACGCUGGCGGCAGGCCUAACACAUGCAAGUCGAACGAGUGGCGGACGGGUGAGUAAUGUCUGGGAAACUGCCCGAUGGAGGGGGAUAACUACUGGAAACGGUAGCUAAUACCGCAUACCAUCGGAUGUGCCCAGAUGGGAUUAGCUCGUAGGUGGGGUAACGGCUCACCUAGGCGACGAUCCCUAGCUGGUCUGAGAGGAUGACCAGCCACACUGGGACGGAGACACGGUCCAGACUCCUACGUGAGGCAGCAGUGGGGAAUAUUGCACAAUGGGCGAAAGCCUGAUGCAGCCAUGCCGCGUGUAUGAAGAAGGCCUUCGGGUUGUAAAGUACUUGCAGCGGGGAGGCGUUACUCGCAGAAGAAGCACCGGCUAACUCCGUGCCAGCCGCCGCGGUAAGAC
rnacentral:rRNA from 1 species